CUAGUAUAAGCAAUUAUACCGUGAAACUGCGAAUGGCUCAUUAAAUCAGUUAUCGUUUAUUUGAUAGUACCUUACUACUUGGAUAACCGUGGUAAUUCUAGAGCUAAUACAUGCUAAAAACCCCAACUUCGGGAGGGGUGUAUUUAUUAGAUAAAAAACCAAUGCCCUUCGGGGCUCCUUGGUGAUUCAUGAUAACUUCUCAGAUCGCAUAGCCUUGAGCUGGCGACGGUUCAUUCAAAUUUCUGCCCUAUCAACUUUCGAUGGUAAGGUAGUGGCUUACCAUGGUUGCAACGGGUAACGGGGAAUUAGGGUUCGAUUCCGGAGAGGGAGCCUGAGAAACGGCUACCACAUCCAAGGAAGGCAGCAGGCGCGCAAAUUACCCAAUUCCGAUACGGAGAGGUAGUGACAAUAAAUACUGAUACAGGGCUCUUUUGGGUCUUGUAAUUGGAAUGAGUACAAUUUAAACCUCUUAACGAGGAACAAUUGGAGGGCAAGUCUGGUGCCAGCAGCCGCGGUAAUUCCAGCUCCAAUAGCGUAUAUUAAAGUUGUUGCAGUUAAAAAGCUCGUAGUUGAACCUUUGGCCUGGCUGGCAGGUCCGCCUCACCGCGUGCACUUGUCCGGCCGGGCCUUUUCUUCUGGAGAACCGCAUGCCCUUCACUGGGUGGUGUUGGGGACCAGGACUUUUACUUUGAAAAAAUUAGAGUGUUCAAAGCAGGCCUUUGCUCGAAUACGUUAGCAUGGAAUAAUAGAAUAGGACGUGCGGUCCUAUUUUGUUGGUUUCUAGGACCGCCGUAAUGAUUAAUAGGGACAGUUGGGGGCAUCAGUAUUCAAUUGUCAGAGGUGAAAUUCUUGGAUUUAUUGAAGACUAACUACUGCGAAAGCAUUUGCCAAAGAUGUUUUCAUUAAUCAGUGAACGAAAGUUAGGGGAUCGAAGACGAUCAGAUACCGUCGUAGUCUUAACCAUAAACUAUGCCGACUAGGGAUCGGGCGGUGUUUCUAAUGUGACCCGCUCGGCACCUUACGAGAAAUCAAAGUG
rnacentral:rRNA from 1 species